GGUGAGCCCUCUCUGUUACUCUUGCUUGCUUGCACUGAUGAAGUAAGCUGCCAUGUUGUGAGAUGCUCUACGAAGAGGUCAUUGAGGCAGGGCACCAAGGAAGGCUUUUGGCCAACAGCUCCUGGGGAACCAAGGCUUUAGGAAGUGAGUCCUGCCAACAAUAACCAGAGCCUUGAACUUUGAAACCACAGUGCCUUGUUCCAGCGUGGAAAGCAGCGCAGCACUUCCCUGUGGUGAAAGCACCCCAGCUUGAAAGGGUAAAAACACCUUCUCCCAGAUAGUCUCCCUUUGUUUAGCCAGUGCUUUUUGCCAGUGGUCACCUUAAGGAAAUCAAACGGAGGUAUGCUCCUUGGUUGGCUGCAUGAAUCCGUCCUUCCUUGUCAGCUUUGCCCAGAGCAGCAGGCUUUGAGCUCUGGGAGGAUUUCCAGGUGGCAGCAGAACAACGGUCCCAUAGGCUGGAGCCUGGCAUGCUUUCCCUUUUAACCAGUGGCAGAGUCUGCAUUUUGCUGGUAUAAUUAUGCAACCUGGUGUAAAGUCCACAUGGGUGGCAGUAGGAGGUAGGCGAGGCAGGACGGUAAGCUGGCUCAGCACUCUGAUUGGGCUUCUUGACUGUUUUUCUAGCUUUUCUUACCCUUUUCUCUCCUGCCCCCUCAUCUCCUCCUCUUCCCUCCUUUUCCCUCCCUUUCUCUCUAAUCCCUUCAUCUUUGUCAGCCUCCACCCUCAGGGAUCCCUAACUCAGGAAACUACGUCUUAUCAAAUAUUUUGGCUUGCCUCCAACUGCUAGUGGCAGGCAGCUCUGGCCCUUGUCUGCUAUCUGAGUGAUUUUCUUCUCCACCGGUUGUUUAUUUCUCUAAUCUAGUUGGAAUUGGAAUCGUGCGUAGAAUCCAAAGGAAAAAAAUCCAAAAGUAAAAAAUGGAUCCUUUCUCUAGUGAGACUGCCCCUGUGGGCUAAAAUAGAAAUGGAAGGAGACUUGGAUUCUUCUUCCUUGAAAAGUGACAUUAUGAAAGAGCAGGAGAAACAGCAUUAGUAUACAGGAAAGCCCAAGGCACACUAUAUCACUCCUCAGAUAUUGGACAUCUCUCUGAGUCCUCUGUUUUCUGCUUAAUUGGGAUUUAUAAACGCUAUUUUUGCCCCGAGGGUACCUGCCAUUUUGGUCGUGCCCAAGUGGCUCUGAACAGAUACCAUCUGCAGGACCUCCACAGCCAGCCAUGCAACAUGAAGCUGCAGACUCCCAGACUCCAGUGUUCUUGCUUUCUGAGAGGGAGCCCUGAGAAUGGUGGAGAAGCACAAAACACAGGAAAGAAAAGAGAAAAGCUGGAUGGAGUAAUUACAUGAUAGGGUUACCUUGUGCACGUGAAAGCAAAAUGUAGGAUACAAGCAAUAACCCCUCCGGUAUUGCACAGUCUUUGAUAACACAAUAGCCUUCUGUUAUUUCAAGGCAUGUUCCUUAAAACCUUCCUUAAGGUUUUCCCACUUCUUACUGGGUUGUAAUGUAUUUAUUUUAUAUGUCCUUUCUUAACUGAUAUUCACAAAGAACAGGAAUGAUAGAUGUGUGUGUAUGAGCAAAAGCGUUUAUGCAUGCUUUUUUUCUUUUUUCUUUUUUUUAGCGUAUGAAAUAGCGGCUGACUUUUGUGACAAUUUUCCACCUAGUUUUGUGAUAGUAAUUUUGCUGCGUUCCUAAACUUAGAUGGCAAGUCCACUUAACAAGGCUGGCCUAAUUCUAUGUUCUCUACGGCACCUAGUCACUAUGGCUGUGCAAGAGCCAUUAUUACCCAAAGUACCAUAAUAAGGGUCAUGCCCUGCUAUGACGUUAUUGUUUCCUAUCUGUCAGGACAUUAAUUGUCUUCUAACUUGCUCUAAAAUUGGUAGCACGGCACACUGCCAAGACUAGAGAGAAGCAAGCUGCUGGUGAUACAUUAAAAGGCUGUGUAAAAGGA